rnacentral:tRNA from 1 species
GCCGGUGUAGCUCAGCGGCAGAGCGGAUGAUUAGUUUUCAUCAGAUGGAGUGUUCAAUUCCUCCCGCCGGCUCCA